CCUACGGGUGGCAGCAGUGAGGAAUAUUGGUCAAUGGGCGCGAGCCUGAACCAGCCAAGUCGCGUGAGGGAUGACGGUCCUACGGAUUGUAAACCUCUUUUGCCGGGGAGCAAGCGUGCGUACGUGAACGCGCGUCGAGAGUACCCGAAGAAAAAGCAUCGGCUAACUCCGUGCCAGCAGCCGCGGUAAUACGGAGGAUGCGAGCGUUAUCCGGAUUUAUUGGGUUGAAAGGGUGCGUAGGCGGAAUGUUAAGUCAGCGGUAAAAUUUCGGGGCUCAACACCGGCCUGCCGUUGAAACUGAUCUUCUUGAGUGAGCGAGAAGUAUGCGGAAUGCGUGGUGUAGCGGUGAAAUGCAUAGAUAUCACGCAGAACUCCGAUUGCGAAGGCAGCAUACCGGCGCUCAACUGACGCUGAGGCACGAAAGCGUGGGUAUCGAACAGGAUUAGAUACCCUAGUAGUC
rnacentral:rRNA from 1 species